CAGCACUGAGCCACCACGGAAGAUUAGGGACAGGUAUUUUAUCUGAGAUGGAGGAAGAUCAAUACUCAGUUCUCAGAACAGUGGUAGAAAAUUGUUCAGAGCUGUUUACUUCUUUGAAAGAGGGGAACAGUCUUGCUAUUUUGGGAGCUGUUAAGGAGGAAUGGUUUAUCCCAGUCCAUCUGGCAGAGGUUAAAUGAUGGUAGUCAAUCCUAAAGGGAAUCAACCUUGAAUAUUCAUUGGUAGGACUAUUGGUAGUGUGUUGCUAUACAUAUUAGGAAGAAGCUUGUGUUUUAUAUCCCCAAAAAAGGCCCCAGAGAGCAAUGACUGGGUAGCACCACAGCCUCACAAUUUCUUCUUAGGGGAAAACAGUAAAGGGCAUCAUGUUACCCUUUUCCUUGGAGCCCAAUUGUGCCUGCAAGAAUUCCUGUCCCAUUCCUUGCUGUGUGGGUUCAGCACGCCCUGGGUUCUGUUGAUGUUCAGACCAUUGAGGAAAUCAUACUUUCCUCACGGAGCAGGGCAUAUCCAGACAUACCCUCACAGGGCUUCUGGCAGCCAACACGAGGGAUUAAAGCCGUUAUUGCUGCUUGCUGAUUCUUUCUGUCCUGCAGUUUCUGUCUGGGAGUGAUCCCAUGGGCUUGAAGUACUGUUUAGACCAGAGAGGAAAGAAAGCAGCCCGAAUCUGGUGAUUUUAGGACAGUGUGCUUGGCCUGGCUGACAACACCCUGUUCUCCAGGCUUUGACAGAAUUUGUUGGCUCUCAUCAUGUUCGUAGGUCAUUUGGUAUUCCAUUCCCUUGCUCUGGGCCCUCUGAAGUGUGAUAAAUUGCUGUUACACAUAGUGAUUUAUACCCUUGAAUUCUGUGGGUCAGGAAAGCAGACAAGGUAUAGUCUCCUUUCUGUGGCACGUUGGCGUUCCAGGAUGUUGGAAUCUCAGUUGGGAAGAAACAAAGGUUGGUGGUGAUGGAAAUGCAGGGCCUGGACUCUGCUGAAGGCUCAUUCCUGCACAUGUGCGGUGCCUGGGACUGGUGUGGCUCCCUCAAAGCAUUGGAGCCUCGGGGCCAUUAGACCUGGGACAGAGGCUCCCUCACCUGUGAUGACCCAGCCUCCAAAGCCAUCAGCAUCAACUCCGCUCUGUGGUUGAAGAACAUGCAAGCCUGCCUGGUUUCCAGGUUGGAGAGUCACAGGCCGUCUUUGACAAAUGCACUUCUUCAUCUCUCUUAGAAGUCCAGUGGCAGAGGGCCAGCCUAAAGGAGGGGUGACAGCUUCCAGUGUAUGAAUUGGACAGGUGUCCCUGUUACCUGCGGGUGCUCUGAAUUUCCUGAAGUUGUGUUAGUGUCUUAGUCUUUGGGGGUUGCUAUCACAAAUUACCACAGCUGGAUGGCAUAUAAGCAACAGAAACUUAUUUCUCAUAGGUCUGGCAGCUGGCAAUCUGAGAUCAGGUACCAGUGUGGUUGGGUUCUAGUGGGAGUUUUUUUCCUGGUCCAUAGGUGGUGACUUUUCACUGCAUUCUCACUUGGUGGAAGCAGUGAGGGGCAUCUCUGGGUUCUCUUAUAAGGGUACUAAUCCCAUUCACGAGGGCCCCACCCUCAUGUCCUAACUGACAACAAAGACCCCAGCUCCUAAUGCCAUUGCCUUCAGAGUUAGGAUUUCAACAUAUGAGUUUCGGUAGGAAACAAACAUUCAGACAAUAGCAGUUUGGGAUUCAACUCCAGUGCAUCAGUCUCCCUAAGUAUCAGCCAUGAAGCCAUUCACUGCUUGCUUUGAAUAUCUUGUCUUCAGCAUGUGGCAGAGGAGCCUCGCUUUCUCAAUGCUGGGCCAUCAGAGUCACCUGGAAAGUUUGUGUAAAAUACAGGUUCAUGGGUCCCACCUUUCUAAGAGGUGCAGGAAGCCUAGAGUGAGAAGGAGUGAUGUAUAGGAAUUGAAUGAACAGUAAGUGUUCAAGUUUAAUUCUCUCUCUUAUAAAAGGAAACCAUAACACAAUCAGACUUAUGAGCCAUGCUUUGAAUGACUGAAUGUGUGUGUGAUGUGUGUAUACAAAACACAAACACACACACAUAAUAGCACAGUGUGUAAAGUGAACCUUGGUUCAUUGAUAUUUUAUACAGAUUUUUCCUUUAUUAAUUUAUGUUGGUGCUACUGCUGGUAAAUCACCUGCCUUGAGCAAAUGUGAAGUCACAAAGAUCAGCCUGCAGUGAGCUGAGCUCAGAAAUGUGUGUAAGGGAAGCUGAGAGAAACAAAGAUUUUAUUUUCUGGUAGCAAAGUCCAACUAUGCUUUUCAGAGUGAAGAUGUCCUCUUCUCUUCAUAAUCUAAUUAAAUUACUUCUGUACUGACAUUAGGCAUAGAGGGCUUCAGCUGGUGGAAUGAAUUCUUCCGAAAGUAAUACUAAAAAUUUACAAAGAAGCCACAAGGAAGAAGCUAUCACGUUGAUUGUUGCCGCAUGACAAUGAGGAUCCAGGUCUGUCAGUGCAUCAGACCUUUCCAAGAAAACCCAUGCCAUCUCUCUUUUAUGUGAAAUACUUGGGUUUUUCAUCAUAGUACCAAAUGUUUGUGAAGAUUCUUAUAAAACAGGCAACCUCUCUUUGACCACUUCCUGGAAUUUUACACUUACACUAUUCUGAGUCGAAACACGAGGACGGAGUUGGAGUGAGAAGCAGAGUCUAGUAGUCGGUGCUGUGGUAAGUGCAAUGCCCACAGCCAAGGGAAAAACUCGGAGGCAGAAGUUCGGUUAUAAUGUUAACCGGAAGCGUCUGAACCGGAAUGCUAGACGGAAGGCAGCGCCGCGGAUCGAAUGCUCACACAUCCGACAUGCCUGGGACCAGACCAAAUCGGUGCGGCAGAACCUGGCCGAGAUGGGUUUGGCUAUGGACCCCAACAGGGCAGUGCCCCUUCUUAAGAGAAAGGUUAAGGCCAUGGAAGUGUAUGUAGAGGAGAGGCCUAAGGAGCUUGUGCGGAAGCCGUAUGGGCUUAAUGACCUGGAGGCAGAAGCCAGCCUUCCAGAAAAGAAAGGAAAUACACUGUCGCGAGAUCUCAUUGACUAUGUUCGCUACAUGGUGGAGAACCAUGGGGAGAACUAUAAGGCUAUGGCCCGGGACGAGAAGAAUUACUAUCAAGAUACCCCAAAACAGAUUCGGAGUAAGAUCAAUGUGUACAAGCGUUUUUACCCAGCAGAGUGGCAAGCCUUCACUGAUUCUUUGCAAAAGAAUAAAAUGGCGGUUGAGAGACUGGUUUAUGCCUGCCCCAGGAUGAGGCUUCCUCCUGGACCAGAGAAGCAAGGAGGGGUGUGCAUCUACACAUGAGGCCGGCCAAACCCCAUGGAAUCAAAAGGUUAAAAUGAGUGUGUGUGUGUGCGCGCGCACACACACAGACACACACACACAGACACACACAAUCUCUCUCACAUUUCACUUUGGAGAAGAUACUGUCUCCCAGAGGCUCCAAUCUAUAUUCUUCUGGGGGCUCUGGGAAAAGCCAGAACCUGCUGUUUUGUGAGUGGGCAGUUUGUUU